rnacentral:lncRNA from 1 species
ACACACACACACAUAGAUGUUUUGUGUUUGUAUAUAUAUAUAUCAUAGUAUAUAUAUUGUAUGCAUAUUCUUCACACACACAUAUCAUAUAUUAUAUCAAGGGAGAAUUCUGGUGCAGAAAAACCAGAGGAUGCAGUCUUCAAAAAUCAAGCUAUAUAAUUGAAUUAGGGUUUCUAGCUGUGUCUCAUAAAAAUGAACAACUUCACCUGAAAUCUGAUUUGUAUUUGCAUAUGUUUGUGUGUGUAUAUAAUAUGUAUUAUAUACAUGCAUAAUAUAUUUAUAUAUAUAUAUAUAUAUAUAUAUAUAUAUAUUAUGUGUAUAUCAUAGAUAUAUCAUGCAAGCACAUAUAUGAUAUAAAUACAAACACACACACACAAAAGCAUAUAUACAUAUUCUUAAUAAUUUUCCCAUUUCUCUAAUUCUUAUAAAAGUUGGCAUAUUAUUUCUCAUUCUGUUUACUUUCUUGAAAAGAUGCUUUUACUAUUGUAUGUAAGUGUAGAUGAUUUUCCCCUUCAAUUAAUUUUGGCACAAAUUUAGAAUACUAAAUUUCCUGUAAUUUAAGAAUCUCAUCUAAUUCUCUCUCAAUUGUAAUUUUUAUUUCAUUAUUGGUUUAUUAAAUAGAUAAAUUUGUAACACUAUUCAUACCUACACAUUCUCUUAUACACCUAUACAUUGCCCACUGUCACAUUUGCAGGAACACACUCACACAGUAUAUUAUUUUACUCAACAUUUAUUUUAUAUGCUCUUAUAAACAUUAUAUUUAAUUCUGUCAAGCCUAGCUAAAUUAAAAAUCUGUGUUUUCCCUGUCCUUUUUUUCUCCUGCUUACCAUAAUCAAUAAAGGAUUGAUUUCUCAUAUAUCUUUAAUGUAAGAUAAGGUAAGAUUAUUUUUAAUCUUAUCGAAUUAUCAAACCAAUAAUGCAGUUAUGCUGAGAAAGAAAUUUCAAAUUUAAUAUUACAACAUUCUUUUAAUGAUAAACUUUAUUUCCUUUUUGCAGUUAUUUUUAUUAACUUAUGUAAUUUGUUUAAUUUCAGAAUGCUGCAGAUUUUAUGUAUUAUUCAAAUAGUUGUGUUAUUAAAAGGAAUCAAAUAAUUGAUCCUUCAUUAUAUACAAUAUAUGUAAUGUUUUUUGAAGCUCCAUGUGUAUAAAAGACUGGUUGUUAAUGUGUCAGUCCAUCAAAAGGAUUCAUAUAACAUGAAUUUUGAUUAAUUUUAAACUCAUUCAUCAGCCAAGAGACCUGCUAACAAUAUAUUAUGCCAUUUGGUCCCCAAAGUGGUCUUACAUUUAAUUCUUUGGCAUUCACGUUACUCUGUCAAAAGUAAUGCUUAUUUAUUCACAUUGUUUUGAAUUAAACAUGCAUUAUUUUGUAGCUUUUGAAAUUUUGAUGAGUUAACUGUUAAUUUUUACAAUGAUAUUAUAGGGUUGGUGUGAGAGGCUGGUUCUAGCCAGUUUGGGCACAAAACAGGUAGAAUAUUUUGGCGGGUUAUGGCCAGUUUAAAUGCUAAAGAGUUAAUAGCAUUCUUGAUUUGGCUUUCUGAAAAUAAAAGCCACAUUUUGUCUACUUUAUACAAAUUGUUAAAUAGUUCUGUAUUUACUACCUCUACCUUCUUUUAUUAUUUAUAAUGAAUAUCAGACAAUAAAAAUAUUUUAUUUUAAAUUUUUAUAAAUAUUUAUUUCCAAGAAUAACUAACUGCAAGAUGAAUCAUGCUAACUUAACCACAGUUGGUUAUUGUUAACAACGGUUACAUGAGGAGGAAGAUUUGUCUAAACUAUACUUUCUAGAGUGGAAACUAAUUUGUAAGUCCAGUCCUAGCUUGUAAAUUAUAUUUUCUUCUUUUGUGAAGCAAAAUGAUCAAGCAUUAAAUUAAUGAUACAAAAAUGUAUAUAACCACCUGCUGGUGGUAAGUGGGGGGUGAGCAAACUAUAUCAUCCUAACAUUUAAGUUUACUCCAAGAAAUAUUAUUUCUUUAAAGAAAAUAAAACAGUUUGUAGAUAUUUCAAUAUUUUGCUGAUGCUUUUUUCCCCUCCUUUAAGAGAUACAGCAGCUGUGACUAAAGAGACUUGUCAGUCCACCUCAUGGUCCCAGCAGACAAAUUGGAAAAGGUGUUGCCCUGGAAGAUGGCAAGGGAGGUGUACUGAAACAGUUACUCUGACUCACAGGGCUCACACUUGAGGAUAGCCAUCUCUGCCCCAACAGCAGUGAGAAGGGACAUAAUUGGGGGGGGGGCAAAGGGCAAGAAUGCUGAGGUCUAUUUCAGUAUCAGAUAUUUGGUUUUCAAACUAUUUAUAUUUCAUUCUGCACAUUUUAAGUGAGUUGAAUACAAUGAGCAAAGGAAUGAAACCCUUUGUAGACCUGAAAAUAUGGCAGUAAAGGAAUUAUAUUAGAAGAAAAGGCAUUGAAGCUAUUUUUUUAUUUUUGCUUUUAAGAGUCCAUUAAUAACUUCUGUUGUAUGUCUUGUUUUUUCAUUUUAAUUUCAUCUCUUCAUAGAUAAGUAGUGUGAGGGAGUGUCAACUGAGCUGUUAAGAGUUUAUAUGUCCUGGGUUAGUUCACCAAACAGUAACUCAGUUGUACCCAGCUGCUUUUGUAUGUGUGCUUAAACACACUCAUAGAUUAAAACUGGAGAUGUAUUCAGCAUCAAAAAUGGAUGAUAAAUAUAUGUCUAUUUGUGUGUGUGUAUAUAAUCAUCAUUAUCAUCAUCAUCAUCAUCAUUAUUGUUCUAACGUCCACCUUACCAUGCCUUCAUAGUUAAGUGAAAUUUAUUGAGGUGGAUUUUAUACAGAUGAGUGCACUUUCUGUUACCAACCCUCAUCUGUAUCCAAGUAAGGUAAUAUUUUCAUAUAACCAGACAUGUUUUCAUGGAAGAUUGGAAACAAAUCACACUGAUGAGUCAGAGGACUGCAUCAGGCUUCUACAUGGCAUGAUUUUUAUGGCUGGAUGCCCUUACUUAUGGCAACCACUUUAUAGAAUGUACUGGGCACUUUUUAUAUGGCACCAGCACUAGUGAGGUCACCAAGUAACUUGCAAGACAAGACCUCCCCCGAGAAUGAGUGGAGAUGUAGUAUUGAGGGCGGUGGCAUUAUACCAAAUGUGGAAAGACUAGAGUCUGAUAGAGGGAUAUGAACAGGUGUAUUGCUGUUGAGAAGAUGGAAAGAGAGAAGAAAUGGUGGUGAUGAGGUAUCAGGGCAUUCCUUAAAAAUACACAAGAAGGUGAAUAUAUAUAUAUAUAUCAUCAUACAUCAGCUUUCCAUCCUCGCAUGGUUAGGAUGCUUCAACAUGGUCCAACAUGUCUUCCUUCAGUAUCCUACUUUUGGCAUGGUUUCUAUGGCUGGAUGCCCUUCAUAACACCAUGGCACCAGCACAGUGGAGGUGAUCUUAUCAUCAGUAAGACUAAAAUGCCCUCUCAAAUCCUGCCUUAUGGAAGUUUGGACGGAUUAUCGAAUGCAUGAGGUAUACUGGGUGCUUUUUGAUGGCACUACCACUGUUGGGGUUGUCUUGUAGCUCACAAAGUGAGAGUGAGUGAUCCAUGUUGAAUAGGGUCAGAUUUAUUGUGAGAGGAUGGUAAUGGAGAAUGUAUUAGAAUAGUGUUGGGGUGAUAGGAAAGGAAGCAGAGAGGAAGGGACACUGGUAAUGGCAAUGUGUGUGCGUAUGUAUGCUAUGUAUAAGAUACAUAUAUAAUGUGUGUGUAUAUACCUUUAUAUGUAUAUAUAUAUAUUUAUAUAUACAUAUGUAUAUAUAUAUAUUUGUAUAUUAAUGUUUGCUUUUAUGUUCAGUUAUAAUAAAGACAGUUUUACAUUAAUCUGAUGGGUUAAUCUAUACUUUUGUAGAGUACAAAUUUAUUCUUAUACAAGAAUGUUGACAGUGACUUCUAAGUUUCAGCCAGUUAAGCCAUUGUCAGACAAUGGCCAAAACUUCAAAGUCAAUACAAACAACAUUCUUGUAUAUGAAUAAUAAAUGUGUGUGUGUGUGUGUGUGUGGAUCAGUUAGAUCCAGCCAAAUUAACAUAGAAGCACACUUCUGUGUAUUUUUGGCUAGACAAAUUAUUCCAAAAAAUAGUUCCUGCUAAUUUAACUGUUUUAAUCAGUUGUCAGUACAGAGCUGGAACAGGUUCACUGGUGUUCACUGGUGCUGGAUAUCCUGCAAACCCAUGUUACAUUUUAUGUGGUGUAAUCUAUCAUAAACAAAAAUAAAACAAAUGAAUAUUUCUGGAUAUCGCUACUCAUCUUCUGAUGGCAUAUUUAUUCCAAAUAUGAGUUCAGUUGCAUAACAUAAUAAGGUGACAUUAUCUUAGUUUGUAUUACUACAAACUGCUAUUUCUUCAUGUGAUAUUCCAUUGAAUAUUUAGUGAAAUAUCAUCUGAAGAAAUGGCAGUUUGUAAUAAUACAAAUUUACACAAUGUUACCUAUUUAAGUUAAGCGAUGUUACUCAUACUUGAAAUAAACAUGUUAUUGAAACAUGUGUAGUGCAUACUCUGAAAUAGUCAUUCUUUUUAUUCUUGUUUACAAUGUAUAUAAACAUAUAUGAAAACAUAUGUUUAAGACAUGCUUAAAACAAAUUUAGUAUUAAUUUAGAUUAUAUUAGAGAUCUUCAAGUUUAUAUUGCCUGCUAUGUGCCUUGCUGGUGUUGGCAUAGAAUAAGCUGUAAAGAUUUAUAGUUAAUAAGCUAUUAAACAUAUAAGAGAUGUUUAUGUAAUAUAUUAUGUAAAAUCAUAUUUCAUGACAACCAAAUAGAUUAUUAGUAUAUUAAAUCCUAUGUAUAUGUUUAACAAUUAUAAAGGCUGAAAUUGUGUUUGAAAUAUUUCAUCAGCUAUGACUUUUUAAAAAGAUCCUGGGAUUAUAAUUUCAUUGUUGUUAAUUAGGAAAACUAAGCCUAUUUUAAGCAUGUUUUUUUUUUAAACAUAUGUUUCUUUGCUUUUCUGCUUGGGGUUUUGUAGUAUAGGGUUCUACAAAAUUUAUUAUGUAAAUAUAUUUAGCACUUACAAUUGUAUAUCAAUGUAUACACAUUGUUGUCUAUACUGCUGUAUGCAUUUGUAUUUGUGUAUAUAAUGUGUAAGUAUGAAGAAUAAUAAAGUGUAAACAAAAACCUCUAUAAUUUGUUUAACUUCAUUUGUAAUAUUCUGAGAUAUUUAGUUUAAGUCUGAGUUCAUUAUUUAUUCUCUUUAAUUGUUAAUAAUUACUGAUUUCUUUGUAAAAACAGUUUAUAUUACAGCACCAAUUUUCAUAUAAUAAUAUAGCUGAUUUUUAAGGAUGCCUUUUUUGUUCUUUUUUAAAACUAGGCUUAUUAGAAAAAAAAGUAAAUGGAACGAUUCAUCGGAAACACUCAAGUACAGAAUAAUUUACUAGUGAAACCCAUUUAAUAUAAUUGUUUCUAAUUUAGGUACAAGGCCAGCAAUUUUGAGUGGAAGGGUAUUAUUUAGUACCCUUGAUCCCAGUAUGUGACUGGUACUAAAUUAUAGUAUAUCUUAUAGUUUUAUGAAAGUUGAAAGUGUUGCAUACAUUUGAUGAAGAAUUUGAACUGUUGGUAUUAUUUUAAUGCUAAAGCCUGUUCUUUGCUCUUACAAAGUGUUUUAUCUGUAAUUUCAUGUUUAUUGUUUGUUUAUAGCAGUUCAAAGCCUUUCAUGUCCCAGAACUUUGGUUUCGUUCUUUUUACUAGAAUACUUAAAUAUAAACAAACAGUGGCAGUGGAAUUGCUGCUAAACUAUUGUAAAGUAAAAGAUUAGUGUUAUACUUAUCUCACAUUACCUAGUUUUUAAUAAAUUAUACCAAAUGCCAUUGGGUUAUAUAUAUGCGUAUUUUAAUUUUUUCCUUUCUUGCAGGCUACUGCAUUUAGUGGUGAUUAGAGCAUAUAUUGUGAAGGGUAUCUACUUGGCUGAGGUUUUUUAUAAUUUUUUAAUGAUAUAACUUUAAUUUAUUUGUACAAUUGUUAUUUUUUACUAUGAUCCUAUAUACGAUGGACUAAACAAUUUGCUUAAAGUAUCAAACUACACAAGAUGGACUAAUUCAAACCAUUGGCUUAUAUUCCCCUCAUCCCACCCCACCCAAGUGGAAUCAAGGUUUUUUUUUUCAUUCCAGUUUUGAGGUUUUGUAAAUCACAUAUUGGAAGAUAAUUUGGUAAAGAUGGACCAGUCUGGAGGGCAGCUGUAAGAAAGCCUAAAAGUGAUUUUCAGUGAGUUAAUGCAAUAAAAGUAGAAUUGUUAUUGGAAGCUUGUCUGACUUCUCAUGAAUGACUGUUAUUUUUUCAUUAAAAGGGAGAGGCUGAAGAUUAUUUUAAGACGAAAACUCUUCUGGGUAUCAUUCAUGAUGACACCAUAAAAAAAAGCGAAAUUGAGAAUAAAGCAUUAAAUGAGAAACACUAAGCAAAGCCUCUAAUUUACAUAAACCUUUAUGGAAAGUCAGUUAAGAAGAAAGAUCAAUGGUUUUAUAUUUGAUACAAGACAUUUAAAGCCUCCUAAAGCAGAGCCAGGAUUUUAUCUUAGAAAUGGAAUUUAUCUCAAGAUGUAAUAAACAUUUUUGUUAAAUGUUUACUCUCCAAUCUUUCCAGUCAGAACUUUUAUGAUUGGCUCUGUUGUUUCUUUAAUAAUCAGAGAACAAAAAUGUUUAGGUUUCUUUCAAGGAAUUGGCAAUUACUUCUGUUAUACAAAUAGCCAGAAUUUUCAUGAUAGCAUAUUUAUUUUUUUUCCUUGAGUGUUUGGACUUUAGCAGAAAUGCCAUCAUUCAAAAUAUGUGAUGGAACGUUUGACAUUAAGAAAUGGUUAUCAGAUUAUAAAAUAUCCCCAGAGUGAACAAAAUGCAAUACAAUGCUAUGAAACUUUAGAGACUUUUAAUACUACUAUCAUGGCCAUUUUAAAUAUGUUUUAUUUUUAUGUAUUUUAAAAAAAAAUUUUCAUAAGGCAAAUUUAUUAAUAGAAUUUUAUUAAUAAAAUAAGGUAAGUCACUAUUAGCUUGUCUAUGUUAUAGAUAUAUUUUAACUUAUGUAUGCCAUUAUCCUUCCUGGGAAGGGAAAUGUUUAAAUGAGGUUCUGUUUUUGUUUGUAUGUGGGCUAGAUGUCUUGUAACCAGUGUAAUAUGUUAAUCCCAGUGUAAUGUAAUCACACACAUACACAAUAAAAAAAAGUUUAAAAAAAAAUGUUGCAACUCCCAAAAUAGAAGAAUCUUGUGUGUUUAUGGAAAGGUAACAAUACAUCUAAUACUGUACAGAAGCAGUUUUAGAGCCUUCUCAAAGACAAUGAUCUACAGCAUGAACUAAGGGAGCAGAGGAAAAGAAAUUCUUAAGAGUUAAUUUUUAAGAGUUUAUUUUUAGUAAAAAAUAUAAAAUAAAAAAAAAGUCAAUUAAAUAUCACUUUCUUAUUUGAGCAGAAUGAAUGUAUUUGCUUAGAAUGGAUAUGUUUCAUAACUUUGCUCCACUUUAGAGAUUUUAGUUUUGUAGAGAAUUUCUUUUCUUAUUAUCAAGGUAAACUGAAGCCUUUAAAAUGUGUUAUUUGCUUUUUUGUAUCAUAAGUUUAGUUGAAUGGCUAUCUUGAAAAUUGAAAGGAUAUAUUCCUGGAAAGUUGUUUUUUUUUUUACUAUUUUUUUUUUUAAGUGUAAUGAAAAGAUAGCAACUGGUUAAUAUUUGCUUUUUGGUAACCAGCUUGAAGGCAGGAAGGCUAAAUCCUCAAAUGUUUCUAUAUUAUUCACAUUGUCUGCAAUGCAUUGCUGCUAUAAAUAAGCUCUUUCUUUUUUUCAAAUUCUGCUUUUAAGUUCUUUAUUCAAAUGGAUGUCCAAGCAAUUAAAUUCCCAUAAUUGACCCAUAUAUAUAAUAAAUAUAUAUACACACACACACACACACACACACACAUGUAUACAUAUAUAUACCAUAGUUGAUACAAUGCAAAAACAAUUUUAAUUUAUUGUAGUUUAAUUAAAAAAAAAUGUUUUAUUGCACUCAUUUUUCAGUUUUUAUACUUGGUUCAAACCAAUUUUUAAAAAAAUUAUAUUUGCCUUCCGUUAGGGUUAUCAUGUUACUGCUCAACUAGCUCAGACUGGAUUGGUAGAGAGUUUCUAGUUUUAAGGUGAAACAUUUUAAUAUUCAAUCGAUCAUUCUUUGACAAAUUUCUUCAAUUAACUCUAUUCUUCAAAUUUUAUAGAGAUCAGAAGUCAUAAAAUGGUACUAACAAUUUAAUAUUAAUUUAAACUUUAAUUUUUUUUCUGUUAUUUAUAUAUUUUUGUCUUAAAAAAAAACAGAAACAACGAAAAUUAUAAAAAGUGUGUGGAAAUGACCUAAUGUUACUCUUAUAUAUAUAUAUAUAUGUGUGUGUGUGUGCGUGUGCAUGUGUGUAUACAUUCACACAUAUAGACAUGUAUAUAUAUAUGCACACAUACAUAUAUAUUUAUACACACAAAUAUAUAUAUAUAUAUAUACAUACAUAUGCUUACACCCACAUAUGUAUGUUAUAUAUUCUUUUUUUGUAUUAAAAUCCUUUUAUUUCAAUGAUAUUAUUUUGUGAAAGAAAACAUCUUAAAUAUCAUUUUUGUCUUAUGCUAUUUCGUAAACAUUUUGUUAAUUAAAUUGUUACAUUUAAAUACAUUUUUUUUCAUGUAUAUGUGUUUUCCCCUUCGUUACAUUUUAAACACACAUGUAUAUAUGUAUAUGUAUGAAAGAUGUCUGUGUGUGUGUGUGUGUGUAUGUAUGUUUUUAUAUAAUGUCUCUUUAUGUCUUUAUUCCCCACCCACAUAUUUGCUGCAAUGUUUUUAAAAUUAAUUUUGGAAAUUUCCUCUGUGUAUUUUAUACCCUGAAAAGGACUACAGCUGGUCAUAGGGCAUAAAUAAGGUGCAUACAAUGUGGUACGGAAGGAAAAUGGUAUGCAAUCUGAAAAAAAAAAAAAACUUACAAAGAUGGAAAGUAUUCUUUUAAAAAGACAAUUCCUAGAUAGUUCCUUCCUAUUGCCCCUAUCUCAGUUUGAACCAAUUCCUUAGGCAAGAUUUCCAUUCUGUAUUUCUUUCUCUGCUAAUAUACUUUAUUGUUGUCUGUCUGGAUCUUGCUUUGAAGAGUUAAUAAAUUUAAAUAUCAUGAAACAG